rnacentral:tRNA from 1 species
GGCGACGUAGCCAAGUGGCAAGGCAGCGGUCUGCAAAACCGCUAUCGGCGGUUCGAAUCCGCCCGUCGCCUCCA